CAGACACACACACAGAGACGCUGACAGGGAGGACAGUGUGGAGCCACAGGAAGGAUGCCAUUGAUGAGCCCAGGAGGCCAGGAGAGAGGUCUGGAACAAUUCUCUCUCACAGUCUUCAGAAGGAUGCAACCCUGCUGAUACUUGGAUCCCAGACUUCUAGCUUCCAGACCCAUGAAGCAGUACAUUUCUGUUGUUUAACUGACUCAGUUUGUAAUUCUUUGGUAAAGCAGCCUUAGGAAACUCACGCACUAACUGACAUUAAGUCUACCAUACCAGGUUAGGAUAGUUCCACCAAUUGGGAGUCUUUAUUUGGGUUACAUGGGAUCCCAGGUUAGCGUGUCACUUCAUGUAAAAUUGCACCACCAGACUUUUUAUGACCCUCUAUUUAUUUUUCCUCCUUAGCACUUACUGUCUAACAUGCUGCAUAUUUAUUUGUUCUUUUUUGUCAUCUUUCCCUUCACUAGAAUGUGAUCUUCGUAAGCGCAGGGAGUGUUGACUGUUUUGCUUAACAAUAUCCCCAGCUUGUACAAGUGCGGUUCUCAGAUACUUGUGAAAUGAAUGACUGAAAGGAUUAAUCGCCUCCUCUUCUUUGUCAUCUCCCUGCAUCCCAUAUAUACCUCAACACCCAUCUUACUCGGAACACAACUGCUGCACAGAAGAAGAGGUUUAACCCUGCAGCAGCUGCUUUCUGGAAGCCUUCUGUGAUAUCAGUUUGACCGUGCACAGCACAGCCUUUGGUCAUGUGCACAGAUGGAUUGCCACCUGGACUCCAGCUCACCACACUGCAGUCAAGAAGUUGUUCCAAGAUUUCCCUGGUGGUCCGGUGGUUAAUACACAAUGCUCCCAGUGCAGGGGGCACAGGUUUGAUCCCUGGUUGGGGAACAAAGACCCCUGUAUGCUUCCUGGUGAGGGCAAAAUAAAAUCAACAAAAACCCUAACUUGUCCCCA
ensembl:lncRNA